GAAAGGGCCAGUUCAGUGGUGGUAGAAUGUAUGCUUUACAUGCAGAAAGACUUGGGUUCAAUCCCUUGCGUUUUCA